UAAAUAAUCUGAUUAAUUUUACUUUCACUAGGUCACUAGGUCUAUCGGUGAUGAUGAUCUGAAGCCAGCUGUAACUGCGGAACCUGAGAUAACUCUAACUACUCUUUCUGCAGAGGAUGAAUACAUUGUAAUGGCCAGUGAUGGCCUUUGGGAUGUUGUUAGUGAGACAGAUGUAGUGAACAUAAUCAGAGACACAGUGAAAGAGCCAGGAAUGUGCUCAAAGAGGUUAGCAACAGAAGCUGCGGAACGAGGCAGCAAAGACAACAUAACCGUUAUUGUUGUUUUCUUACGUCCAGUUUCCACAGCUGAGAGAAUUUAUUAGCUCUGCUGUCAUCAUUCAUCAUUUUUUGCAAGAUUCUUUCUGUGAAGUGUAGAUCAGCAUACAGGAACAGACGCAACGUAUUUAACCAAUAAGAGUUAUUUGGAUUCAGUUCAUUGUGUGAUUUCAGCUUGUGGUAAAGGAUUUCUGAUCUGUAAUCUUGAUUCGAAGCAAAAUUAUUCUCUUUUUGGACAUGUUAAAGAACUGAUACCGAUUGGACAAAGAUACUGAUGAGAUCCACUUCCUUGAUUUGAAAUCC